UCAGACGCUUAACCGACUGAGCCACCCAGGCGCCCCUCUUUUGAUCUGCUUUUGAACAACUAAGAUGGACCAGACCAUUGCUCUCACAUCCUAGAGCGCGAAAGACAGCAUACAAACAAGAACAUAUCAAAUGGUGCAGUUGGCUGAAGGCAGCCCCCCAAAAGCUAUGUCUACCUCCUAACCCCCGGAACCUGUGAAUGUGAUCUUCCUUGGAAAAAUGGGUCUUUGCAGAUGUAAGUAAGGAUCUUGAGAGAAGAUCAUCCUGGAUUAUCAAGGUGGUCACUAAAUCCAACGACAAGUGACUUUCCAAGUCACACAGAAGAGACACAGAGAGGAAGAAAAGGCCAUAAAAUGGGAGGCAGAGAGUGGAGUGAUACAGCCACAACCAAGGAACGUGCGGGGCCACUAGACUCUGGAAGCAGCAAGGAAGGAUUCUGCCCUAUAUCCCCCCGAGGGAGCCUGGCCCUGCCGACACCUUCAUUUCAGACUCCGGCCUCUAGAACCGUGAGAAACUAAGUUUCUGUUGUUGUAAGCCUCCCUCUUUGUGGGCAUUUGUACAUCAACCCUAGGAAACAAUAGCAUAAAUGGUAACACGUACCGAGAAGAAAAUAAGAUGGGCAAAUGAGACAAAAUAUAAACAGGGACUCAGAUGUGACCACUAUAAAUGAUGGAGUCUGGAAGGCCCCAAUUAGGAUGUACCAGUUGAAUUCCCUGAGGACAUGGGAGAGGGGUGUUCUGAAUCGGAGGGCGAGGGGGCAAGUAUAAAGGGCCUAACCUGGGAAUUAAUUUGGUGUGUGCAAAGACCAGGAAGUGAGUGGUGCUGAUUAUGGGAGGUGCAGGAGAGAGUGGUAGGGAGAUGCUGAGACAGGAAGGAACCAGACCCUGUAGAGCCUUGUAACCUCAGAGAGACCUAACACUUAUAAUGACUUGCAGAUGCCCUUACAAGCAGAGAAAGACGUACGGACUGAUUAAAUAAUGAGUAUAUGCCAAACAUUGUAGCAAUCGGAUUAAAACCCAGAACCUUUAUAAUCUUCCUCAUGUAAUCCCAUCCCACUGUUAAUUCAAUAUGAAUAAGAAUGUCACAAAUAGAACAUGUGAGGUCAAACACCACAGACACAGUAGAAAAUCCUCAGCGGGAUCCUUUAUUUUGUUCACUUGCUACUUACAAGGUGAAAUGUCAACCUGUAAAAGUUGUUUCUACCAGUUCAGCCAAUGGCCUGGAACAUCAUCGUGUCCUCGUUCCACGGUGUAUAGUCCCGGGGGGGCAGAUCCAAGGGUCGCAGCUUCACGGGGACCAGACGGCGCGGGUUCCAGAGCUCAAGCUCCGCACACUGCACUUCCCCAGGACCCCACAGCCUCAUUCCUACUGGUGAUCAGCGAGGAAAUGGAUGGUAUUUCUAUUCACUUUUUCAAAGAUCAGACCUACCUCAUUUACAUGUCAAGAAAAUGUUCUCAAGUAAAAUAAAGUGUUUAUCAUUUUCCUAUA